GUGUUGUUGGGUAGGGGAGCGUUCUGUAAGCCUGUGAAGGUGGCCUGUGAGGGUUGCUGGAGGUAUCAGAAGUGCGAAUGCUGACAUAAGUAACGAUAAAGCGGGUGAAAAGCCCGCUCGCCGGAAGACCAAGGGUUCCUGUCCAACGUUAAUCGGGGCAGGGUGAGUCGACCCCUAAGGCGAGGCCGAAAGGCGUAGUCGAUGGGAAACGGGUUAAUAUUCCCGUACUUGGUGUUACUGCGAAGGGGGGACGGAGAAGGCUAUGUUGGCCGGGCGACGGUUGUCCCGGUUUAAGCGUGUAGGUGUGUGUUCCAGGUAAAUCCGGUUCACUUUAACACUGAGGCGUGACGACGAGGCACUACGGUGCUGAAGCAACAAAUGCCCUGCUUCCAGGAAAAGCCUCUAAGCAUCAGGUAACAUCAAAUCGUACCCCAAACCGACACAGGUGGUCAGGUAGAGAAUACCAAGGCGCUUGAGAGAACUCGGGUGAAGGAACUAGGCAAAAUGGUGCCGUAACUUCGGGAGAAGGCACGCUGACACGUAGGUGAAGUGAUUUACUCAUGGAGCUGAAGUCAGUCGAAGAUACCAGCUGGCUGCAACUGUUUAUUAAAAACACAGCACUGUGCAAACACGAAAGUGGACGUAUACGGUGUGACGCCUGCCCGGUGCCGGAAGGUUAAUUGAUGGGGUCAGCGCAAGCGAAGCUCCUGAUCGAAGCCCCGGUAAACGGCGGCCGUAACUAUAACGGUCCUAAGGUAGCGAAAUUCCUUGUCGGGUAAGUUCCGACCUGCACGAAUGGCGUAAUGAUGGCCAGGCUGUCUCCACCCGAGACUCAGUGAAAUUGAACUCGCUGUGAAGAUGCAGUGUACCCGCGGCAAGACGGAAAGACCCCGUGAACCUUUACUAUAGCUUGACACUGAACAUUGAGCCUUGAUGUGUAGGAUAGGUGGGAGGCUUUGAAGUGUGGACGCCAGUCUGCAUGGAGCCGACCUUGAAAUACCACCCUUUAAUGUUUGAUGUUCUAACGUGGACCCGUAAUCCGGGUUGCGGACAGUGUCUGGUGGGUAGUUUGACUGGGGCGGUCUCCUCCUAAAGAGUAACGGAGGAGCACGAAGGUUGGCUAAUCCUGGUCGGACAUCAGGAGGUUAGUGCAAUGGCAUAAGCCAGCUUGACUGCGAGCGUGACGGCGCGAGCAGGUGCGAAAGCAGGUCAUAGUGAUCCGGUGGUUCUGAAUGGAAGGGCCAUCGCUCAACGGAUAAAAGGUACUCCGGGGAUAACAGGCUGAUACCGCCCAAGAGUUCAUAUCGACGGCGGUGUUUGGCACCUCGAUGUCGGCUCAUCACAUCCUGGGGCUGAAGUAGGUCCCAAGGGUAUGGCUGUUCGCCAUUUAAAGUGGUACGCGAGCUGGGUUUAGAACGUCGUGAGACAGUUCGGUCCCUAUCUGCCGUGGGCGCUGGAGAACUGAGGGGGGCUGCUCCUAGUACGAGAGGACCGGAGUGGACGCAUCACUGGUGUUCGGGUUGUCAUGCCAAUGGCACUGCCCGGUAGCUAAAUGCGGAAGAGAUAAGUGCUGAAAGCAUCUAAGCACGAAACUUGCCCCGAGAUGAGUUCUCCCUGAGACUUUAGGUCUCCUGAAGGAACGUUGAAGACGACGACGUUGAUAGGCCGGGUGUGUAAGCGCAGCGAUGCGUUGAGCUAACCGGUACUAAUG
rnacentral:rRNA from 1 species